CAAAAACCAAAAACCCCAAAACAAAAAACCCACAAGUGAUUAAACAAAGAAAACAUGAUUAUACCAAUGUACAAUGAGAGACGCUGCUAUUGUUGUAACCUGUGAAAUGUGUGUACUAUUAGCCAACACACAACUCAGAAAUACUCGCCUCUAUUUCUGAUUAGCACAGGCUUAAGGACAUGUGCAUGCCCAUGUGCUCCAUGAAAUGCCUGGUAAGGUUUUGUGGUUGUGGUUGUUACAAGAACAAUACAUACAAGAACAAAAAAACAUGAAAAAGAAAAUAUGUUUCUAUUAUCCACUUAGAGGAAACUGAAGUUAAGGUCUGCACAUACAAAUACACAUAAAGAACCUCAGAUUUUAUAUACACUGUUUACAUGCAUAAUUUAAAUUUAAAAAUGGUUCACAUGAUACUUUAGUUCAUUUUUCCUCUAAGUAGGAAUACUUCAAAAUGUCUCUCCAUUUUAGCAGGUUUCUGUAAGGGCUUAAUGUGUAACAUUGUAUUUCAUAAAUCCAUCUUUUCUGUACCAAAGUAUCCGCAGUGGUAUGGACCUGCCUAACACGCAAAGGCCUGGGCUUGAUCCCCAGCAGUCAGAGAGCAACCUACACAGCUCCUGGUCCAGUAACUAGCACCUCAGAGACUGGCAAGUCAUCUACUGCCUCUUCAGCCAAGCGCACCGGAGACCCCUCGGUCUAAAUCUCAGGAGAGAGAGACCCGAGAACCCUGCCCUGAUGAGCAACCCAGGCUGCAGUGAGGCCGGGUCUAAGCCACAGGGACACAGAGCUCACUUAGAAAACGCUCCUGCUGCCCGGCACACACAGCACGGCCGGUGGCAGCCAGGUUUUUGGAUUGAUGACAUGAAUCUAGUCAUUUGUUUUACUUAAAAGAAAAACAGGAAAAAGAAGUAUCUGUCAUGAGAUCAAUAGCUCCAGAGUGAAAAACGGGUUUCCUCAAACAAAUUCAAGACAAUAAAGAAUUUCAUAAAAUAAAUCUCACAAAUUCCUUCUUUUGUAGACUUUCAAACUUCAAAAAAAUGUACCAGGCAAUUUUUAUUUUUGAACCGGAAUGAAAUACAGUAGUCUUUAAAAUGAGGGACAAGGAAGGUCAUUUUAAAGAUGUCACAAAAAUGUCAAAAACGUGGACACACAAAAAUGAACUUAAUAUGGCAUUUAACCAAAAAGUUCAAAAACAUGGGGAAAAAAAGCCACACCUGAGCAAAAGUGCCUGCAACACAAGCUACUGUACACUUUACAUUAAUGUUCCAGGAAUUAUCACUGAGCAGAGAAAGUACAACUAUCUCAAGAAUAAACAGGGAGGAGACGUGAAAAACACUCCACAGACCAACCCAAUCCGCGCAGUAAACGUGGACACUGCUGACGACCAGGAUAGGCGGGAAUUGAUAUAGUUCACCUUUCCAAGGCUCGGCCUACAGACUCAGGUCUGAAAUAUAAAGGACUCAUACGCUGGGAGUUAGUCUCACCUGAGGAAAUUUAUCCCAAGGAGGUUAUUAUAUGCAACUUAGAGCAAAUCCACUGUACGGAGUAGAGAAUCUCUGGACUGUGAUACAUACGUACACAGAACAGAAUAACACACAGCUAUUAAAAUAAUUGGCAAUAAACCUGUAUUUUUUUUGGUGAGAACUAUCAGAGUGCAGGUUUUAAAAGGGGCCACGGAUGGGAUUAUGGUGCGACUGCAUUCAUGUCAAAUGGCUACACAGAAUUUUUUCACAAAGCUAUUCAAUGUUGACAGUGAGUUUAGGCGAUGUUUCCAUACUUGACGGUGUUGUUCUGGGUUCAGAACAGUGAAUAUGUCACUUUUAUGAAACCAACAAGACUUUCAUUAUGGGGAUGACUCCACAAUGACAGACUCGCUGCCUGGUGUGGCUGUCAAGGACAGUUACUUGCCUUUGUGAGCUGGGGCUGCUCUUACUGUUUAGGCAUUUCCCUGCAGGUUCUUAGCACUGUGCUCCUGGAGGGAACCCUGGGACAGAAUUGCUUUAGUCUUAGUCUGUCACACUAAUGGGUGAUUCAGAUAACCCCAACUGUCAUGAUUAGUUCUUUGUGACUUGACACAAGCUAGAGACAACAGAAAAGAGAACCCCUUCUUUGAGAAGAUCUCUCCACCAAAUGGGCCCCUGGGCAAGUCUGUGGGGCACUGUUUUUAAAUGAUUGGUGUGGGAGGGCCCAGCUCCCGUUGGGCAGCAACACUCCUGGAUGUUAUAUGAAAUCAGGCUGAGAAUUAUGGGAAAGCAGCCAGUGAGCAACACUCUUCCACAGCCUCUGCAUCAGUUCCUGUCUCAGGUUCCUGCCUAGGUUUGCAUCAUGACGUCCUUCAAGAAUAUAUAAGCUGAAAUAAACCUUUUCCUCCCCAAGUUGCUUUUGGUCACAGUGUUUUAACACAGCAACAGAAACCUUAAGUAAGACACCAACCUUUUAGAAAGCCUCAGUUCAGUCAUAUGGGUAAUGACUCAAUCUGCACACCUAUGUGAUAAAAACCCAAUCUGAACAUCAGAAGAAAGCAGAAUUUUUUGGUUGAACACACUGACACUCAAGGAGAGGUGAGUUGACACUAUUCAGAGAGGUUGUCAAAGCUCCCAGUUGUCUUCCAAGCUUGAUCGUAAGUGUAUCCUGUCUCCUCAUAAUAUGGAACUUGAGAAUUCUGUGGGUUAUUCUAGUGAAUUCUCAAACUUGAAGGGAUCAGG
rnacentral:sRNA from 1 species